rnacentral:rRNA from 1 species
GACAGAGGGGGCAAGCGUUGCUCGGAAUUACUGGGCGUAAAGGGCGCGUAGGCGGAACGGCAAGUCGGUCGUGAAAUCCUUCGGCUCAACCGAAGAACGUCGAUCGAAACUGCCGUUCUUGAGGAUUGCAGAGGAGACUGGAAUUCCCGGUGUAGCGGUGAAAUGUGUAGAGAUCGGGAGGAACACCGGUGGCGAAGGCGGGUCUCUGGGCAAUUCCUGACGCUGAGGCGCGAAAGCGUGGGGAGCAAACGGG